GAAUAAUUAAGCAGCAAGCAGCUUCCCUUCUAGAUCGGGAAACCAAACACAAUAAAACAAUAACAAAUGAAUACCAAGCAACACUCAAACAAAGAAUUGCAUGCUAUACAAGUAAGAACAUAUAAACUCGUGUACACAGUCUCAUGCCUUCCUGUGCCUCCAGCGUCCCCUUCCUUCUCAGCUAUCAUUUACCCCACGUUACUCUCAGUGUUUCCUUCCCUUUCUGCCCUGCUGCUAAGAAGCUCAAAGCUAAGGUUUCUACUCAAUUUCAAUAAGUAGCAAUUCAGACUUUUUGUCAGUUACUGUAUAUUUCCUAGCCCCUAUUACUUGAUUAUUGCUCCUUUAUACCAUUAUAAUGUGUAUGUGUGAGAAUAUGUGUAUCUUUUGGUUCUAACCUAUUAUUGAAAACUGCUUCAAAUCCUUACUGGAAGGAGUCUGGGUUUUUGUUUUUUUAAUGUUGACAAUACUCUCUCAUUAAUUUUAAUAAUUAUCUAUCUCAAAACCUAGAUUAUAAGGACCUAGAAGGAUCCUGCUUGCUUCUAACAAUCCCCCAAAAGAUUUAACACUAGGCACAUGGUAGGCAUCCAGCUGAUACUGGCUGAUACAUAUUUUCAAAAGAGAUUUUAAUAAAAAAAGAAGGCGGCUGGAAGGAAAUAAAACAAUGACAGUAACAUGCGUUACGAUGUUGAGGUUAUAGGUUUCCUUUUCUCUGUUUUUCAAAUUUUCUGCAAUGUGCUUACAACUGUUUUUAUAACCACAACUCUUUUGAUGACGUCUUUUAAAAAUGAAAAAAACAAGUGACUAUACUGGAGUUGAGGUUCACCAGCACGCAUCUUGGGAGACAUGAGCCCUAAACUGUGUCUUCAAGCAAAGGAAUUAAUUUAACACACAGAACUGGCAGAGAGGAGAAGGGAAAUGUGUGCGAGAGAGGAGAAGGGAAAUGUGUGCGAGAAAGCCCUGCAGUGGGACUGAGCAAAGUGCUCAUUCGAAAACAGCCUGCCUUGGAGAAGAAACCAGAGAGAAGGUUUCAAAGUCACGAGUUUGGCAUGAGGAGAGCUGGAGGAAGAGCCCAAGAGACAGUGAAGAGGAAGCAAGAGGCUGUAUACAUAGCCAGCUGGGUUUGGGGGCACCUCAUGAGUAUCCCAUAGCACAAACGGGCAAACUCUGUUACUGGCACAUUAACUAAAAGACAAAACUCCACAUAAACCUGAGUCCUUCCAACCAACCCGGAGACUUACCCAAAUCUAAUCUAAAUAACAACAACAAAAAAGAAAAAAUCCCUAUGAGCCUGUAAGUCAUUAAGGGGGUACAUCUUCAAAUGACAUGCUAUCACUAACCAUGGCUUAAAACC
rnacentral:lncRNA from 1 species